UGGAGGUGCUCCUUCCCCAUGGGUCUUGCUUAACUUCUGUCAUAUUGCCAAGGCCAAGGGACCUGGCUCCUCUGGUUACUGGGUGUCUGGCAGUGAAGAAGGAGGUUGGAGGAAGUCAGAAUUGUUUCAGCCUCUUGAAGCUUUCUGGUGACUGGAAGCCUCUUCACUUCCACAUAGCAUCUUUCAUCACUGCUCAUAGCCACCUGAUGUUCAUAUAUAUUACAAUAUGAGGCAUGAGCUGUGCUCCAGCACGCGCUGACAGGAAUAGUCCGAGAAAACUGGCUACAGAAGCUCAGAGAUACAGAAGGCAUUACCUGCCAUGUAAGGUAUCUGUGUGACCUUCCUUUCUGAAGAGUGUUUUUUUCUUCAUCAUUCAUUAUUUCUGAGAGCCUGUGGGCUCAGCAGCAAAUUGCAGUGAUGUUUUAGGUUUGACUGCUUGAAUGUUCUGAUUUUCAGUUUUAGCUGCUAAGGAGGAUUUCAGCAGAUUUUCAGCUAGGCUAGCUGAGCAUCACUGAACUUCUCUUCUGCAGUGGUCAGGCAGCUUAGCUGAGCUGGUGUUACGUGUUGCCCAACCUUCUUUCAGGUGUGAAGCUUUGCCAACAUCCACAGAAGUAAGUGCAAACUUGUAUGCCAGAGGAUGGCUCCAGAAAUGGCCUGGCAUUUCAUUAACACAACAGAAGGCUAUUGCCGUGGAUUUGCUGGUUCUCUGGAUAUACAAAAAUUGCUAGAAGCCU